UUGUUUAAGGUACAACAGCAGCAUGGUUCAAAUGUUACUUGUAGUUCUCAGAAAAAUUAAAAAUUUUAAGUGAUGAAUACAGAAAAUGUAGGGACCACCUUUCAUUCUUUUGAGUACCACCGUUCUCUUGAAAAAAUAUUCUAACCUUCUAAAAUCCCAGAGUUAAGAACCAUUUCCAAACGGAAAAACAAAUCCAAGGCCACAACAUAACUUCUGAACAAGUGUGUACGCAUAUAUAUAUGUAUAUAGAUGUAUUAGGUUGGUGCAAAAGUAAUUGCAGGUUUUGCCAUAAAAGUCAUGGCAAAAACCACAAUUACUUAUGCACCAACCUAAUAUAUGUGUGAAACAGAGAAAAGGAUGUCAAACUACUUAAUUUAAUUUCUGUAAAAUAAACUUCUGAUGUUUGAAGCAAAUAUUUUGCUUGAUCAAAAUGUGUUCUUCUUCGGGUUGUUUGAUUCCCAGUCCAUGCAAAAAACAAAACCAAACAAAAAAAGAAACUGCAAAAGCCAGAAAGUGUUACUACGUGGGAAAUAAGGCUUCAAAUACCUAAAUGACUUUGAAAGUAGGUAUAAGGAAAAAUAAAAUAGGCCAAGCUUGGGCAGAAACUGUCCCCCAACCAGCCAUUGCUAUGGCGUGUCUUACAAAACGAUCCUUUUAUCCUUGGUCUCAAAAAAUCAGUACCAGAAAGACUCUCACCUCUGGCACAGGACAUAAAUUCCUGCUACAAAAAGAUAAUUAUACUUCAGCAAAUUAUGUUCUAAGCUUAGCAUUCUCCAGGCUUUAUAACGCAGAACUCAGGUUGAAGCUUUCUAUAAAACUCUAAAUGACACUGUUAUACAGCACCUUGUGCUUUGCCAAUUAAAAAAAAAAAGAAUCUAAAAUUAAAUAUUACAGAACUAAUGGAUAAUACAAUAGCAUACGUGUUAGAAUCCAAGUGCUAGCCUCUGGGAAUUUUUCAUUACAUUUAUUUUCUCCCAACUGUUCCUUUUUUUUUAAAAGUAUUUUUUUAGACAGUACAUAUACAUAAACUUAGGUAGGGAAAUCUGUUAAAUGUCUCUCUGGCACCUGAUACCUAAAGACCCUGUCUUGAAUUAAUUUAUAAAUUGUACCUAAUCCAUGUUCAAAUGAGAUUAACAGUAAAUUAUAGAAAAUUACUGAGUCUACAGGCUAAAAUUUUUUUCACAUCUUUUGUAAUCCACCUUAUUUUCACAGCUUGACUAACAAAUACAGGUAAGUUUGUCCUUCAUCAAAUAAUCCAAAAUAAUAACUGUAGGCCUGUCAUUCAUAAGAAACUAUAAUUUGUUAUAUUCUGACAUUGGCACUUAAUAAAAUGUUAACAACUAAAGUUUCUCCAAAAAUUCCAAUACAUUACAAUAAAGGAGAUAAACAAUUUAAGACUGUUUGAAUCUGUUACUGUGGAAUUCCAAUAAUUAUCAUUUUAUAUGCAUAAUUAAAUUCUUAAAAUUGUGGUCAUUUUCCAAAGACACCAAUCUAUAUUAUGACAAACUCAGAAGAGAACCUAUCUCCUUCAUAAGAAUGUUUUUUCCCCCAAGCUAAAAAUUUCCAACAUCCUAAACCCAAUUACUCUUAGUAAAUGUUUUGGUGACUCACACUACUGAAAAAAUCUGAAGCAGAGAGUCAAAAAGAAUGGAAAGGAUCUCAACCAAAGGUAACCGCACAUUCUUACACUCUGCUUAAGCAAACACUUAGAAAAGUCAAAGGGAUAAUGUUUUGAACAAAUAUAGAUUCAAGGUUAUGGUACAAUUCUGAUUAUAUUAAGGCUUUCACUAUCAUGAUCUCUUAAAAGUCUCUCCACUUUAGUGUUCUCCUUCUGAUUGAUAUGGUGAACUUAAGGGGUUAGUAAGGGCCUUGUUUUAGCUUCUCAGUGGGGAACCACUCUAUCAUCUCUGAAUGUUAAAGGUGAUCCCACAGAGCUCAAAGAGAAGAGGCAAUAUGGUAAGAAACAAUUUUAAAGUUUGCAAUACCAAGACAACAAU
ensembl:lncRNA